rnacentral:rRNA from 1 species
UACGUAGGAGACGAGCGUUGUCCGGAGUUACUGGGCGUAAAGGGUGCGCAGGUGGCGGCGCGCGUGGGGGGUGAAAUCGCCCGGCUUAACUGGGCGGGGGCCUUCCAGACGGCGUGGCUUGAGCAGCGGAGGGGGACGUGGAAUUCCUGGUGUAGCGGUGAAAUGCGCAGAUAUCAGGAGGAACACCGGUGGCGAAGGCGGCGACCUGGUCCGAUACUGACGCUGGAGGCGCGAAAGCGUGGGGAGCAAACAGG